AAGGUUUACAGGCGUGGGGACGAGACCCCGGACCCUGCCCAGACCUCGGCGGGUCGGCGUCAGCGAGACAGAGACCGCCGGGUCGCCUCGGACGCGGGAAAAAGAGAUCAAGUCUCUGACUGCUGAAAUUGAUCGGUUGAAAAACUGUGGCUGUUCAGAAGCUUCUGCAAAUUUGGAACAGUUGCGAGAAGAAAAUUUGAAGUUGAAGUAUAGACUGAAUAUCCUUCGAAAGAGUCUUCAGGCAGAAAGGAACAGACCAACCAAAAACAUGAUUAACAUUAACAGUCGCCUACAGGAAGUUUUUGGUUGUGCCAUUAAGUCUGCUUAUCCAAAUCUGGAAAAUCCUCCUCUGAUAGUAACACCAAGUCAACAGCCCAAGUUUGGGGAUUAUCAGUGCAAUAGUGCAAUGGGCAUCUCUCAGAUACUCAAAACCAAGGAACAGAAAGUUAAUCCAAGAGAAAUUGCUGAAAAUAUUACCAAACACCUCCCAGACAGUGAAUGUAUUGAAAAAGUUGAAAUUGCUGGUCCUGGUUUCAUUAAUAUCCACUUAAAAAAGGACUUUGUAUCAAAACAAUUGACCAAUCUCUUGUUGAAUGGUGUUCAGCUCCCUUCUCUUGGAGAGAAUAAAAAGGUUGUAGUUGACUUUUCCUCUCCAAACAUAGCUAAAGAAAUGCAUGUGGGCCAUCUUAGGUCAACUAUCAUAGGAGAGAGCAUGUGCCGCCUCUUUGAAUUUGCAGGAUAUGAUGUGCUAAGAUUGAACCACAUCGGAGACUGGGGCACUCAGUUUGGCAUGCUCAUCGCUCACCUGCAGGAUAAGUUUCCAGAUUACUUAACAGUUUCGCCUCCUAUUGGGGAUCUUCAGGCCUUUUAUAAGGAGUCCAAGAAGAGGUUUGAUACUGAGGAGGAAUUUAAGAAGCGAGCGUACCAGUGUGUGGUUCUGCUCCAGAGUAAAAAUCCAGAUAUCAUAAAAGCUUGGAAACUUAUUUGUGAUGUCUCCCGCCAAGAGUUUAAUAAAAUCUACGAGGCUUUGGAUAUCUCUUUAAUAGAGAGGGGGGAAUCCUUCUAUCAAGAUCGGAUGAAUGAUGUUGUAAAAGAAUUUGAAGAUAAAGGAUAUGUGCAAGUGGAUGAUGGCAGAAAGAUUGUGUUUGUCCCAGGAUGUUCUGUACCAUUAACCAUAGUAAAAUCAGAUGGAGGUUAUACCUAUGACACAUCUGACCUGGCAGCCAUUAAACAAAGACUAUUUGAAGAGAAAGCAGAUAUGAUUAUCUAUGUGGUAGACAGUGGUCAGGCUGUGCAUUUCCAGACAAUAUUUGGUGCUGCUCAAAUGAUUGGUUGGUAUGACCCUAACAUAACUCGAAUUUCUCAUGCUGGAUUUGGUGUGGUGCUGGGGGAAGACAAGAAAAAGUUUAAAACGCGUUCUGGUGAAACAGUGCGCCUCAUAGACCUUUUGGAAGAAGGACUAAAGCGAUCAAUGGAGAAAUUGAAGGAAAAAGAAAGAGAUAAGGUCUUAACUGCAGAAGAAUUGAAGGCUGCUCAGACAUCCGUUGCUUAUGGCUGUAUCAAAUAUGCUGAUCUUUCCCAUAACCGAUUGAAUGACUAUAUCUUCUCUUUUGACAAAAUGCUGGAUGACAGAGGAAACACAGCUGCUUACUUGUUGUAUGCCUUCACUAGAAUCAGAUCUAUUACUCGUCUAGCCAAUAUUGAUGAAGAGAUGCUUAAGAAAGCUGCUCGAGAAACCAAGAUCAUUUUGGACCAUGAGAAGGAAUGGAAGUUAGGCCGGUGCAUCUUACGGUUCCCUGAGAUUCUGCAAAAGAUUUUAGAUGACUUACUUCUCCAUACACUCUGUGAUUACAUCUAUGAGCUGGCAACUACUUUCACAGAAUUCUACGAUAGCUGCUAUUGUGUGGAGAAAGAUCGACAAACUGGAAAAGUGUUGAAGGUGAACAUGUGGCGAAUGCUGUUGUGUGAAGCAGUAGCUGCUGUCAUGGCCAAGGGGUUCGAUAUCCUGGGAAUAAAACCUGUCCAAAGAAUGUAAUCUUAGGUUUGAACAUUGUUUUUACCAAAGUAGCCAUUAGCACUGUUUGCUUUUUUACAAUCAUGUGGAUAUAAAAACAAGUAAAAGAAGUUUCUCAGCUAGCCAAGUAAUAUGUGAUUCUUUAUCGCUAAUUACUAGACUUCUGAAGAGAAAAAAGUACUUCACUGUCUCAUUUAGAGUUUUUAGUCCAUUGUUCUGUUGUAGAUACUUGUCUUUGUUUGACAAAACUGAAGCUCCUUGGAAAGAGAAACCUGCCCUGGAUUGCUCAGGAACAAAAUCGAGAUUCAUAUCCGUGUGUGUCUAAUUCCCAAAGUUAAGCUUUUCCCAUUUCAGCAAAAGACAACAGUGAAGGGAAAAGCGGACAAGAAAAUUUAAGAGACUAGAACUUUCUUGAAGCUAUAGAUUGAUUCUUAUUGGUCAUAUGCCAAUUGUAAUUUCAAGGGAAAGUGGAAAACAGAUAAGAAUGGGAUUGUCAUGAUUUGCUGAUAUCAGUCAAGUUUCAUCUCCGGGGCUUGGCAUGCUAUUAUCUGGAGUUCUACAUCACAAAAGGUGAUACUACGGUGAUGGUUCAUGGAGCUAAAUCUUUGCACACACCUGUGACCAAUCUCCUAGUAAACACUAAGAAGUUGAAUAUUAAAGGAUUCAGCUCACAUUACCAAAUGGCUCUAGAGAGUACCUGCAGUCCCAGGGGCAGUGUACAAAAUUCUGUUCAUAGUACCUUAUCCAACCCUGGAUAUCUAGUUUGACAGGAUUGACACUGCAAGGUUAGUGCUGGGAAAAUCAAUCAGCCUAAAAUUAUUUAACUGUGUUAAAAUACAAGAGAAGUAUAUGCUCUGGGUUUUUAUCCAGUCCAACCACUUAUUUCCCUGCUGUUUGACUCUAAAAGAGCUAUCUAGUCUCUCCUGGCCUUCAUCCAUGUUGCCUGCCAACUGGGAGAACAGUGUCAUAGAACAGUGUUACUGUGCACCUCUCGCCUCUCCAACUUUAUAAGUUGAUGCCCUAGCCCUCAGUGUGACUGAAUUUGGAAACGGCUUUUAAAGAGGUAAUUAAAGUUAAAUG